CAGAAGGGGUGGAGCUCGACUCUACCUCUCCCAGAUCCCAUUUAAGGGCUGACCAUCACUAAGGCAGCAUCUUUAUCUGGAGAUUGCUCUUGUGUGGAGUUUUUGUGGUGAGCCUCAACAUUGGAGAGCAUCCAUCUCAACUGAAAGCCUCAGCACUGAACUCCUAGGCAGCUCCAAUAUAGAAAAGCAUGCAGUGAAGAUGGCAACUUCAGAACAUCCUGGGACACUGAUAGGAAAGAUACCGUCUCUCAGCUGGGAUGAGAAGACAAAGGCUAUAGAACAAGCAAAGUGAAAAGUCCUGCAGAUGUGGCCUACGAGGAUUAAGAGAAACGUCACUUUUUUCAGAGGAAAGAACAGUUUUUCAAGAAACAUAAGAAUGGGGGAGCGAAACAGAAGGAAAAAAUAUCACGAGA